rnacentral:rRNA from 1 species
UACGAGGGGGGCGAGCGUUGUUCGGAAUCAUUGGGCGUAAAGCGCGUGUAGGCGGCUCGAUAAGUCUGCUGUGAAAGUCCAGGGCUCAACCCUGGGAUGCCGGUGGAUACUGUCGAGCUCGAGUCCGGAAGAGGCGAGUGGAAUUCCUGGUGUAGCGGUGAAAUGCGCAGAUAUCAGGAGGAACACCAAUGGCGAAGGCAGCUCGCUGGGACGUGACUGACGCUGAGACGCGAAAGCGUGGGGAGCAAACAGG